rnacentral:rRNA from 1 species
UACGGAGGGAGCUAGCGUUGUUCGGAAUUACUGGGCGUAAAGCGCACGUAGGCGGCUUUGUAAGUAAGAGGUGAAAGCCUGGUGCUCAACACCAGAACUGCCUUUUAGACUGCAUCGCUUGAAUCCAGGAGAGGUGAGUGGAAUUCCGAGUGUAGAGGUGAAAUUCGUAGAUAUUCGGAAGAACACCAGUGGCGAAGGCGGCUCACUGGACUGGUAUUGACGCUGAGGUGCGAAAGCGUGGGGAGCAAACAGG